AACACGUGAGUAACCUGCCCUUGACUCUGGGAUAAGCGCUGGAAACGGCGUCUAAUACCGGAUACGAGCUUCAGCCGCAUGGCUAGGAGUUGGAAAGAAUUUCGGUCAAGGAUGGACUCGCGGCCUAUCAGCUAGUUGGUGAGGUAAUGGCUCACCAAGGCGACGACGGGUAGCCGGCCUGAGAGGGUGACCGGCCACACUGGGACUGAGACACGGCCCAGACUCCUACGGGAGGCAGCAGUGGGGAAUAUUGCACAAUGGGCGAAAGCCUGAUGCAGCAACGCCGCGUGAGGGAUGACGGCCUUCGGGUUGUAAACCUCUUUUAGUAGGGAAGAAGCGAAAGUGACGGUACCUGCAGAAAAAGCACCGGCUAACUACGUGCCAGCAGCCGCGGUAAUACGUAGGGUGCAAGCGUUGUCCGGAAUUAUUGGGCGUAAAGAGCUCGUAGGCGGUUUGUCGCGUCUGCUGUGAAAUCUGGGGGCUCAACCCCCAGCCUGCAGUGGGUACGGGCAGACUAGAGUGCGGUAGGGGAGAUUGGAAUUCCUGGUGUAGCGGUGGAAUGCGCAGAUAUCAGGAGGAACACCGAUGGCGAAGGCAGAUCUCUGGGCCGUAACUGACGCUGAGGAGCGAAAGCGUGGGGAGCGAACAGGAUUAGAUACCCUGGUAGUCCACGCCGUAAACGUUGGGAACUAGAUGUGGGGACCAUUCCACGGUCUCCGUGUCGCAGCUAACGCAUUAAGUUCCCCGCCUGGGGAGUACGGCCGCAAGGCUAAAACUCAAAGGAAUUGACGGGGGCCCGCACAAGCGGCGGAGCAUGCGGAUUAAUUCGAUGCAACGCGAAGAACCUUACCAAGGCUUGACAUAUACCGGAAACGGCCAGAGAUGGUCGCCCCGCAAGGUCGGUAUACAGGUGGUGCAUGGUUGUCGUCAGCUCGUGUCGUGAGAUGUUGGGUUAAGUCCCGCAACGAGCGCAACCCUCGUUCUAUGUUGCCAGCACGUUAUGGUGGGAACUCAUAGGAGACUGCCGGGGUCAACUCGGAGGAAGGUGGGGAUGACGUCAAAUCAUCAUGCCCCUUAUGUCUUGGGCUUCACGCAUGCUACAAUGGCCGGUACAAAGGGCUGCGAUACCGUAAGGUGGAGCGAAUCCCAAAAAGCCGGUCUCAGUUCGGAUUGGGGUCUGCAACUCGACCCCAUGAAGUCGGAGUCGCUAGUAAUCGCAGAUCAGCAACGCUGCGGUGAAUACGUUCCCGGGCCUUGUACACACCGCCCGUCAAG
rnacentral:rRNA from 1 species